rnacentral:rRNA from 1 species
GACGAACGCUGGCGGCGUGCUUAACACAUGCAAGUCGAACGGUAAGGCCCUUCGGGGUACACGAGUGGCGAACGGGUGAGUAACACGUGGGUGAUCUGCCCUGCACUUCGGGAUAAGCCUGGGAAACUGGGUCUAAUCACGGAUAGGACCACGGCCUGCAUGGGUGGUGGUGGAAAGCUUUUGCGGUGUGGGAUGGGCCCGCGGCCUAUCAGCUUGUUGGUGGGGUGAUGGCCUACCAAGGCGACGACGGGUAGCCGGCCUGAGAGGGUGACCGGCCACACUGGGACUGAGAUACGGCCCAGACUCCUACGGGAGGCAGCAGUGGGGAAUAUUGCACAAUGGGCGCAAGCCUGAUGCAGCGACGCCGCGUGAGGGAUGACGGCCUUCGGGUUGUAAACCUCUUUCAGCACCGACGAAGCGCAAGUGACGGUAGGUGCAGAAGAAGGACCGGCCAACUACGUGCCAGCAGCCGCCGUAA